ACACAUUGCAAAAGCUGGGCACACCACUUGGCACACUCCUAGACCCAAGAAAGUAACAUUUGCAAGCGCCCUUCAAGGGUACCUGAGGGAGUCCUGCAUUAGGGGGUAUCCGGAUAGCCGGAUUAUAUCCUUUAGCCGGACUGUUGGACUAUGAAGAUACAAGAUUGAAGACUUCGUCUCGUAUCCGGAUGGGACUCUACUUGGCGUGGAAGGCAAGCUAGGCAAUACGGAUGUAUAUAUCUCCUCCUUUGUAACCGACCUUGUGUAACCCUAGCCCCCUCUGGUGUCUAUAUAAACCGGAGGGUUUUAGUCCGUAGGUGUAACAUCCCAAAAUUCUAAAUUUUGGAAUGUUAUAAACAAAUAGAUAGAUUUGAUUGAUUGUUGGAUUGAUUGUCUGAGAGUGAGUGAAUUCGAAACUUUUGAAAGUUAAAUGAGAGGGAAUAAAAGGACUUUCCCAAACUUUCAUAUUUGCUUUCUGAUCUCCGUGAAUUCAAAUGCUUUUCAAACACAAAACCCUUGAGCGAAGAUAACAUGACUUCUUCCAUUUAAAAAUGAAAAGGGUGUUUGAAAAAUAAUUGAAUUUCAUUUGGAAAUAUUCCAAUUCUGAAACUUUAUGCGACUCAAUGAUUUUCACGAGAGAAGAUAAAAUGACUUCUUCAAAUUAUAUGAAAUAUGAGUUGGAAGUUUCAGAGAAUUAAAUUCAAAGCCCCCUUUGAAUUUAUUUUCAAUUUGGAAUGUUAUACGUUAGAUCAUCAUGCAUAUCUUAUUUUCUUGCAUUUUGGUCGAUCCUAGAAAAUUCACGCAACUCAAGGACCUUCGGAGAGAGUUGGAGAUUUCGUUAUUUUCUUAUUUGAGAGUUUUCUCGAAUUGGAAAAAAGAGGAUCAUUUGAUUUAUUUAUUUCAUCUUCAAUAAUUUUUCCGGUGUCAAAAUACAUGAGAGAGGGAAUAAUAUGACUUUCCCAAAAUAUAGGAAAAAUGAAGAUUUAAUAAAUAGAUCAAAAUUUUGUUUUCCCGUGUUUGUUUGCGUUUUAUUUGGACAGGGAAAAAUGCGCGUUUUUGAAAAUUUUAUUUUAGGUCCGGAGAAAAGUUCAUUUUGUUCGACUCAUUUUUAGGAGUCGGGGAAAAUUUACUUUUAGAAUUUUGGAGCCCGUUUAGUUUCCUUUUUCGUUUUUUUUUCUGCGCGCGGAAUCAGUUAAAAAAAACUGGACCAAGGCCCACCGGGCCAAAGGCCCAAGCCAAGCCGCAGCCUCCCUGCGCGCAGCGCAGCGCCAGGCGCCAGGAGCGCCCCAGGCCGCCGCCUCUUGCUCCUGUACCGAAUCCUAAAAGGAUUCUAGGGCGCCCCUUGCCCCCUUUUCCUUAUUUCGUUAUUCCUAUUCCUACUCUAUUUCUUGCCCUCUACCCCAAGUAAACCCCCUCCCCUCCCCAAUAUAAAUACCCAAGCACCCCCCCCUCUAAACAUCAAAUCAAAACCCCUCUCUCCACCACCCAAGCCGCGUCUCACCCCGCGCCUCUCACCCGCGCCGCGCCCUNNNNNNNNNNNNNNNNNNNNNNNNNNNNNNNNNNNNNNNNNNNNNNNNNNNNNNNNNNNNNNNNNNNNNNNNNNNNNNNNNNNNNNNNNNNNNNNNNNNNNNNNNNNNNNNNNNNNNNNNNNNNNNNNNNNNNNNNNNNNNNNNNNNNNNNNNNNNNNNNNNNNNNNNNNNNNNNNNNNNNNNNNNNNNNNNNNNNNNNNNNNNNNNNNNNNNNNNNNNNNNNNNNNNNNNNNNNNNNNNNNNNNNNNNNNNNNNNNNNNNNNNNNNNNNNNNNNNNNNNNNNNNNNNNNNNNNNNNNNNNNNNNNNNNNNNNNNNNNNNNNNNNNNNNNNNNNNNNNNNNNNNNNNNNNNNNNNNNNNNNNNNNNNNNNNNNNNNNNNNNNNNNNNNNNNNNNNNNNNNNNNNNNNNNGCGCCCUGCGUCACCCGCCGCCGCGCCUUGCCUACACCGCCGCCGCCCCUCACCCACGCCACCGCCGCUGCCGCCGGAGCCCCUCACCGAAGACCUCGCCGGAGGUACCGCGACGCGUCUCUUUUCUUUUCCUCGGAUCGGUUUUCUUAUAAAUCGUUCCGAUUCUUUUCUUCUCCACCGAUUCGUUUUUCUUUCCGGUUCUUCGCUAAACCGUUCCGGUUUCCUAGAUUGGUUUUCGUUCUUCUUUCGGACCGUUCGUCUCAAUGAACGUGAUCACCGAUUAUUCCCGGUUAACGACGCCCGUUCGUUUAACCGUUCGUCUCUUUCUUUUCGUCGGAUUUAUUCCGCGAUCGCGAUCUCAGGUCCGAUCUUCGUUCUAGUUUAUCUUCUCGCUCGUUUAUCGGAAUCAGGUGAUUCAAGCGCCUGGAGUUUCGUCUCGAAACCGCCGUUCCGUCUAAUCAACUUAAACAAGUUUUUGCUACUGUAAAAUUUUGACCUAGUUUCAACUUGCUAGAACCGAGUUGUUUUCUUCCGUCGUUUGUUUUCCGUCGUUUGUUCGAUUCGUUCUUUCUUUGCAACCGGAGUUCUUAAGUUGAACCUUCUGGUUCGUUCUCUCGUUCGAGUUUUACUUGUGCAUUAGAUGAGUACUUAUUGUGUGGUUACUAUUGCUUGCUUACGAUAGAUUGACUGGAGUGUGACGAGUAGAUCUAUCACAAGUUUUGAGUGUGAAUCAUCUUCAUCAACAUUGCAGGCAAGUUCACACUUUGAUCAUACCUUUUCUACAACCCAUGUUUUAUUGCAUUAGAUCAAUCCUCUCACAUUGCAUGAUUAGGAUCUAAUUAAAUUGUGGGAUGGGAAGUAGAUGAGGUAGUACCUAUUACCUGUAUUAUUAUGAAACCUUUGGGAGUUACUUCUAUGUUUGCUAUUUAUGCCAUGCUAUGCUAGUAGAUGUGGAUUGGGUGAGUGAUAUCCAUGACAGAUGUGAGUUGAUAAUUUUAAUGGUUUAUCUAAGGUGGCAACUUAAACACACAUCUGGGUGGAUUGAGGCACCUGAUCUCUAUCAGGACUUGCCUGUUUUUUUCCGGACCGCCACCCAGGCUCAAAGGGAUCGUAAGAUAAUUCAUGCUAGAAACUUCCGUGUGCAGCCACAUGCUACUAUGGGCUCUAUCAUAGUUGACUAAGUUGUGCGAACUCUUACGGGAUGGACUAGCAGAUGUACGGGUUGUAGGUGGUACGGUCUACCCCACAUGUAAGGUGCUAGCGCUUCUGAAAGACUAUGUCUCGGUCAUCCGUUUCUCAAACACCGUGUAGUGCGAGAAAACAAACGGAGGCGAUCGAGUCAUGUGGGGAAAAGUGCGCAAACCUCUGUAGAGUGUACAAGCUAAUCAUGAUUAGCCGUGUCCCCGGUUAUGGACAACUUGAGUAUCUAGUACUUGAAUAUCAUUGUGAAUCUCAUCAUGUUACUUCUAAUUAAUGUUGUUGGGUUUUAAUUAUUUUUAGUUGGGAUUGAGAAUGUUGUCAACCAUUCUCAAUGUUCAACAGCCACCAUGUUAGUUAAAUAAUUUUAUUCAGUUGCAGUAGGGAAAAAUUGGCUUUACGCAAAAACCUUAUAACCAUAGAGCUUUUCCACCAGCCAAAUAUGCAUGUAGUGAUAGCCAUUGUUCAUCAUUCUCUAUGGUGUGAAUUUGCCAGUACAUUCAAUGUACUGACCCGUUUCGGGCUGCAACGUCUCAUGUUGUAGGUUUCUUACGACGAGUAAGUGAUACGUUAGGGUUACGAUUUCUACACUCAACUUUGUCGUUGGUGUUGAUGGGAAUCCACAACCUUGUUGCUUCCGCUAUAUGGAUUGAGGUAAUAGUAUUUACGUUACUUUAUACAUGUGAUUUACCUCUGUUAUAAAUCCUUCGAGUACGGUGUGUGUCAGCAUACUGAUCCAGGGAUGACACAUAAGCAUAGAGACUUGAUCCAUUCGGGUCGGGUCGCUACAGUAGGACAACAUACAAUCAUACCAUAGGCUAGCUUCUAGGGUUUAGCCUCUCCGAUCUCGUGGUAGAUCUACUCUUGUACUACCCAUAUCAUCAAUAUUAAUCUAGUAGGGCGUAGGGUUUUACCUCCAUCAAGAGGGCCCGAACCUGAGUAAAACAUCGUGUCCCCUGCCUCCUGUUACCAUCCGCCUUAGACGCACAGUUUGGGACCCCCUACCCAAGAUCCGCUGGUUUUGACACCGACAUUGGUGCUUUCAUUGAGAGUUCCUCUGUGACGUCACCAGAAGGAAGGAUGUCUCGUCUCGUCUCUAAAGACGGUACUACUGUUGGGGGAGCUUUGGUUGUCGGCCAAACUCUCCGGCUAGGCGGUUUCAUCAUGACCGCCUGUUCGGCCGCCGCGUCGAUGAUGACUUCUUGGGUCAUCGAAAACAGCCUCCACAUUAAAUCGGCACUCGCCGAAUAGAUGGAUCCGGUGGAGGUCGCCUCCCUAAACGAGCUCUUGGAUCGCAUCGCCGCCUUGGGAGUCGCUACGGACUAUGAUCGGAUUGGGCUUAAACCCGAUCAAAGGGAGAUUAACUCUUCGUCGGUCACCCAUCAUAUUGCAGUGGUGGAGGAACAAUGCGGCGACCUCUCCUUCAUAUUGAGGACCAACUAUGUCCGGAUUCCUGAGCUCUCCGAGUCGGAUACCCGUUCGCGGGAGGACAACAUCCAAUCCCUGAACUUAGAGUCAGGCAGUGGGCCAGGAUUAUCGGGCAACACCCCGGAACCAGAAUUUCCAAAAUUGGAAAUUCCUCGGCCCCUGGAUCCCAGAUCAGGUAAGGGUUUGGAUUCAAUUGCACCCACCCACCCAAACAUAAGCGAUAUUUCCCACAUCAGGCAAGAACCCCAGGAAACAGUACAUCACUAUUGGGCCAGAUUCCUCCUUGCGAUGAACAAGGUUAAGGACUAUCGCGAGGAAGACGCAAUCUUAUUUUUCUGCAAUAAUUGCACGGACAAGGGAAUCCUUAACGCCAUAAAUCACCAUGAGAUAUCACGCUUCACUGACUUGGCAUCCAUAGUACGAAAGUACUGUGCGAUGGAAAGUGCCUGGAAAACCGAAACAAACUUUUGGGAUAAUCCGGCCCUAAAUACGAACUCAGUCCGAAAUAAAAUGGUGCACUAUCAAAAGACACCCAGGUCAACUACCAAAAAGCAAAAACCCUCUAUAGGGCAUGGAACCGUACUGGAGGGUGGCUCAAUGGACCCUGCAAACUUCAUAGUAUAGCGGAUACAAUACCAAUGCACAGCCUUAGAGCAUGUUGGAUACUCCGGCAGGUGGCCAAAAGUGGUGAGGAUCUUCUUAUCCCAAAUGCCACAGAGCACCAUCCCGUGGAUAACAAUACUGUGUUAACAGUCUUUGAGACAUUUGCGUCAAAUAAUAGGCGCAAGCGAACACUCCGUAGCAUGGCCGAAAUCUGCCACAUAGCAGCAAUAAAUCCAUGGAGUGACACGGCUAUUACCUUCAAUGCCAGUGAUGAACCUAAAUUCCGAACAACCCGAGAACCAGCCGCACUGGUCCUCGGUCCAAUUGUGGACGGCUUUCGACUCACCAAGGUACUCAUGGACGGCGGCGGCGGAUUAAACCUCAUCUAUGAGCAAACCCUUCAAAAAAUGGAAAUAGACUGGAACCGCAUCGAGCGAAGCAGCACAACCAUUAGAGGAAUAAUCCCCAGUCGGGAAGCGCGCUGUACAGGCAAAAUCACACUAGAUGUGGUGUUUGGCACGCCGGAAAAUUAUAGGUCCGAAGAGAUUACGUUCCAAGUGGCCCCGUUCAGUAGCGGUUACCACGCCCUGUUAGGGCGGGGGCGUUUACAAUCUUCCAAGCCAUACCCCAUUACGGGUACAUGAAGCUCAAAAUGCUCGAGCCCAACGGAAUUAUCACUCUCGCUAGUGAUCCGGACACAGCACUCCGCGCCGAAAACAAGACAGCCGCACUGGCCCUCGAGGCAUUAUCCGAAGCCCUCUCGGCCGAGGAGCUAACCACGCUACACUCCACAGUGGACAGGGAGGACGGGAUACUCGAUAAGAGAUCCAAGUCCGUCUCUUUUAAACCAGCGGAUGAAAUAGUCAAAUUCCAAGUCCACCCAACGGACCCUACAAAAACAGCCUCCAUCAGGGCAUAGUUAAAACCCGCCGUGGACGCCGCACUACGAGAGUUCCUGCGCGAGAACUGGGACAUAUUCGCCUGGCACCCCUCAAACAUGCCAGGAAUCCCACGCGGGCUGGCCGAGCAUAGCCUCCAUAUCAUAAAGGGAUUCAAGCCGGUCAAGCAAGCUCUUUGGCGUUUCUCCGAACCUAAGAGACAGGCCAUGGGAGAGGAACUAGCCAAGUUAUUGGAGGCCGGAUUCAUCAGAGAGAUAAAACACCCAGACUGGCUAGCAAACCUGGUGAUGGUACCAAAGAAGGAUAAAUCCUGACACCUUUGUGUCGACUUCAAGGACCUCAAUAAAGUUUGCCCAAAGGAUCCCUUCCCCCUCCCCCGCAUUGACCAAAUUAUCAAUGCUACCGCAAGACACGAGUCAUUGUGUUUCCUCGACGCAUACUCCGGUUACCACCAAAUCAAGAUGGCGGAGUCCGACCAAGCCGCAACGGCCUUCAUCACACCAUACGGUCCCUUCUGUUUCAAUACAAUGCCUUUUGGGCUCAAAAACGCUGGCGCAACAUAUCAGCGCAUGAUUCAGACAUGUCUGGAGAAACAAAUCGGCAAAAUAGUAGAGGCAUACGUAGACGAUGUGGUCGUUAAAACCAAGCACAUCGACUCUUUGAUAGACGACUUGAGGCUCACAUUCGACAACCUCCGAACAUACGACAUCAAGCUCAAUCCAAAAAAAUGUGUUUUCGGUGUACCAGCCGGAAAGCUCCUGGGUUUCAUUGUCUCUAGUAGAGGUAUUGAAGCUAAUCCGGCCAAAAUCCAAGCUUUGUCACAGUUGGCUACCCCAACAGACCUCAAACAAAUCCAGAAGUUAACUGGAUGCGUGGUGUCUGAUGUCUACUAAACAACCUUCUUCUUGUAGACGUUGUUGGGCCUCCAAGUGCAGAGGUUUGUAGGAUAGUAGCAAAUUUCCCUCAAGUGGUUGACCUAAGGUUUAUCAAUCCAUAGGAGGCGUAGGAUGAAGUGUUGGGGAACGUUGCAGAAAAUUAAAAAUUUUGCUACAGUUUCACCAAGAUCCAUCUAUGAGUUCAUCUAAGCAAUGAGUCAAGGGAGAGAGUUUGCAUCUACAUACCACUUGUAGAUCGCGUGCGGAAGCUUGCAAGGUGAUGAUGGAGUCGUACUCGACGUGAUUCGAAUCACCGAUGACCAAGUGCUGAACGGACAGCACCUCCACGUUCAACACACGUACGGGACGGGAGACGUCUCCUCCUUGUUGAUCCAGCAAGGGGGAAGGAGAGGUUGAGGAAGAAAGCUCCACCGGCAGCACAACGGCGUGGUGAUGGUGGAGAGGUAGUACUCCGACAGGGCUUCGCCAAGCACACAACGGAGGAGGAGAGGUGUUGGGGAGGGGAGGGCUGCACCUUGGAGGGUGGUGCGGCUGCCCUCCCCUCACCCCUCUAUUUAUAGGGGGAAGGGAGAAGGGGGCCGGCCCCCUAGAACCCAUCUAGGGGGGUGCGGCGGCCAAGGGGAGAGGGGGAGAGGGUGGCUUGCCCCCCAAGCCAAGGGGGGCGCCCCCUCUAGGGUUCCCCCCUCAACCCUAGGCGCAAGGGCCCAAGGGAGGGGGUGCGCCCAGCCUACCAGGGGCUGGCUCCCUGCCCCACGCAGCCCAUGUGGCCCCCCGGGAGGGGUGGCCCCUCCCGGUGGACCCCCGGUACCCUUCCGGUGGCCCCGGUACAAUACCGGUAUGACCCCGAAACUUCCCGGUGUCCGUUUGACAACUUCCCAUAUAUAAAUCUUUACCUCCGGACCCUUCCGGAGCUCCUCGUGACGUCCAAGAUCCCAUCCGGGACUCCGAACAACAUUCGGUAGUCACAUACUAGUCUUCCUAAUAACCCUAGCGUCACCGAACCUUAAGUGUGUAGACCCUACGGGUUCGGGAGACAUGCAGACAUGACCGAGACGCUCUCAGAUCAAUAACCAACAGCGGGAUCUGGAUACCCAUGAUGGCUCCCACAUGCUCCUCGAUGUUGUCAUCGGAUGAACCACGAUGUCGAGGAUUCGAUCAAACCCUGUAUACAAUUCCCUUUGUCAAUCGGUACGUUACUUGCCCGAGACUCGAUCGUCGGUAUCCCAAUACCUUGUUCAGUCUCGUUACCGGCAAGUCACUUUACUCGUACCGUAAUGCAUGAUCCUGUGUCCAACACCUUGGUCACAUUGAGCUCAUUAUGAUGAUGCAUUACCGAGUGGGCCCAGAGAUACCUCUCCGUCAUACGGAGUGACAAAUCCCAGUCUCGAUCCGUGUCAACCCAACAGCUACUUUCGGAGAUACCUGUAAUGCACCUUUAUAGUCACCCAGUUACGUUGUGACGUUUGAUACACCCAAGGCACUCCUACGGUAUCCGGGAGUUACACGAUCUCAUGGUCUAAGGAAGAGAUACUUGACAUUGGCAAAGCUCUAGCAAACGAACUAAACGACCUUUGUGCUAUGCUUAGGAUUGGGUCUUGUCCAUCACAUCAUUCUCCUAAUGAUGUGAUCCCGUUAUCAACGACAUCCAAUGUCCAUAGCCAGGAAAUCAUGACUAUCUGUUGAUCACAACGAGCUAGUCAACUAGAGGCUCACUAGGGACAUAUUGAGGUCUAUUUAUUCACACGUGUAUUACGAUUUCCGGAUAACACAGUUAUAGCAUGAAUAAAAGACAAUUAUCAUGAACAAUGAAAUAUAAUAAUACUUUUAUUAUUGCCUCUAGGGCAUAUUUCCAACAGUCUCCCACUUGCACUAGAGUCACCAAUCUAGUUACAUUGUGAUGAAUCGAACACCCAUAGAGUUCUGGUGUUGAUCAUGUUUUGCACGCGAGAGAGGUUUAGUCAGCGGAUCUGCGACAUUCAGAUCCGUGUGCACUUUGCAAAUCUCUAUGUCUCCAUCUUGAACAUUUUCACGGAUGGAGUUGAAACGACGCUUGAUGUGCCUGGUCUUCUUGUGAAACCUGGGCUCCUUGGCGAGGGUAAUAGCUCCAGUGUUGUCACAGAAGAGUUUGAUCGGCCCCGACGCAUUGGGUAUGACUCCUAGGUCGGUGAUGAACUCCUUCACCCAAAUCGCUUCAUGCGCUGCCUCCAAGGCUGCCAUGUACUCCGCUUCACACGUAGAUCCCGCCACGACGCUCUGCUUGCAGCUGCACCAGCUUACUGCUCCACCAUUCAACAUAUACACGUAUCCGGUUUGUGACUUAGAGUCAUCCAGAUCUGAGUCGAAGCUAGCGUCGACGUAACCCUUUACGACGAGCUCUUCGUCUCCUCCAUAAACGAGAAACAUGUCCUUCGUCCUUUUCAGGUACUUCAGGAUAUUCUUGACCGCUGUCCAGUGUUCCUUGCCGGGAUUACUUUGGUAUCUUGCUACCAAACUUACGGCAAGGUUUACAUCGGGUCUGGUACACAGCAUGGCAUAGAUAAUAGAUCCUAUGGCUGAAGCAUAGGGGAUGACACUCAUCUCUUCUUUAUCUUUUGCCGUGGUCGGUGACUGAGCCGAGCUCAGUCUCACACCUUGUAACAUAGGCAAGAACCCCUUCUUGGACUGAUCCAUUUUGAACCUCUUCAAAAUCUUAUCAAGGUAUGUGCUUUGUGAAAGACCUAUGAGGCGUCUCGAUCUAUCUCUAUAGAUCUUGAUGCCUAAUAUAUAAGCAGCUUCUCCAAGGUCCUUCAUUGAAAAACACUUAUUCAAGUAGGCCUUAAUGUUGUCCAGAAAUUCUAUAUUAUUUCCCAUCAAGAGUAUGUCAUCUACAUAUAAUAUGAGAAAUGCUACAGAGCUCCCACUCACUUUCUUGUAAACGCAGGCUUCUCCAUAAGUCUGCAUAAACCUAAACGCUUUGAUCAUCUCAUCAAAGCGAAUGUUCCAACUCCGAGAUGCUUGCACCAGUCCAUAAAUGGAUCGCUGGAGCUUGCAUACUUUGUUAGCGUUCCGAGGAUCGACAAAACCUUCCGGCUGCAUCAUAUACAGUUCUUCCUUAAGAUGCCCGUUAAGGAAUGCUGUUUUGACGUCCAUCUGCCAUAUCUCAUAACCAUAGUAUGCGGCAAUUGCUAACAUGAUUCGGACGGACUUCAGCUUUGCUACGGGAGAGAAAGUCUCGUCGUAGUCAAUCCCUUGAACUUGUCGAUAACCCUUAGCGACAAGUCGAGCCUUAUAAAUGGUAACAUUACCAUCCGCGUCCGUCUUCUUCUUAAAAAUCCAUUUGUUUUCUAUCGCUCGCCGAUCAUCGGGCAAGUCUGUCAAAGUCCAUACUUUGUUUUCAUACAUGGAUUCUAUCUCGGAUUUCAUGGCUUCAAGCCAUUUGUUGGAAUCCGGGCCCGCCAUCGCUUCUUCAUAGUUCGAAGGUUCAUUGUUGUCUAACAACAUGAUUUCCAGGACAGGGUUGCCGUACCACUCUGGUGCGGAACGUGUCCUUGUGGACCUACGAAGUUCAGUAGUAACUUGAUCCGAAGUACCUUGAUCAUCAUCAUUGUUUUCCUCUUCAGUUGGUGUGGGCAUCACAGGAACGGUUUCCUGCGCUGCGCCACUUUCCCGCUCAAGAGGUAGUACUUCAUCGAGUUCUACUUUCCUCCCACUUACUUCUUUCGAGAGAAACUCUUUUUCCAGAAAGCAUCCGUUCUUGGCAACAAAGAUCUUGCCUUCGGAUCUUAAGUAGAAGGUAUACCCGACAGUUUCCUUAGGGUAUCCUAUGAAUACGCAUUUUUCCGACUUGGGUUCGAGCUUUUCAGGUUGAAGUUUCUUGACAUAAGCAUCGCAUCCCCAAACUUUUAGAAACGACAGCUUAGGUUUCUUUCCAAACCAUAAUUCAUACGGUGUUGUCUCAACGGAUUUAGACGGUGCCCUAUUUAAAGUGAAUGUAGCUGUCUCUAGAGCGUAUCCCCAAAAUGAUAGCGGUAAAUCGGUAAGAGACAUCAUAGACCGCACCAUAUCCAAUAGAGUGCGAUUACGACGUUCGAACACACCGUUUCGCUGAGGUGUUCCAGGCGGCGUGAGUUGUGAAACGAUUCCACAUUUCCUUAAGUGUGUACCAAAUUCGUGACUUAAGUAUUCUCCUCCACGAUCUGAUCGUAAGAAUUUUAUCUUUCGGUCACGUUGAUUCUCUACCUCAUUCUGAAAUUCUUUGAACUUUUCAAAGGUCUCAGACUUGUGUUUCAUUAAGUAGACAUACCCAUAUCUACUCAAGUCAUCAGUGAGAGUGAGAACAUAACGAUAUCCUCCGCGAGCCUCAACGCUCAUUGGACCGCACACAUCGGUAUGUAUGAUUUCCAACAAGUUGGUUGCUCGCUCCAUUGUUCCGGAGAACGGAGUCUUGGUCAUUUUGCCCAAGAGGCAUGGUUCGCACGUGUCAAACGAUUCAUAAUCAAGAGACUCUAAAAGUCCAUCGGCAUGGAGCUUCUUCAUGCGCUUAAUACCAAUGUGACCAAGGCGGCAGUGCCACAAGUAUGUGGGACUAUCGUUAUCAACUUUAAAUCUUUUGGCAUCUACACUAUGAACAUGUGUAAUAUUACGCUCGAGAUUCAUUAAGAAUAAACCAUUGACCAUCGGAGCAUGACCAUAAAACAUAUCUCUCAUAUAAAUCGAACAACCAUUAUUCUCAGACUUAAAUGAGUAGCCAUCUCGUAUUAAACGAGAUCCAGAUACAAUGUUCAUGCUCAAACUUGGCACUAAAUAACAAUUAUUAAGGUUCAAAACUAAUCCCGUAGGUAAAUGUAGAGGCAGCGUGCCGACGGCGAUCACAUCGACUCUGGAACCAUUCCCGACGCGCAUCGUCACCUCGUCCUUCGCCAGUCUCCGUUUAUUCCGCAGCUCCUGCUGUGAGUUACAAAUAUGAGCAACGACACCGGUAUCAAAUACCCAGGAGUUACUACGAGUACUGGUAAGGUACACAUCAAUCACAUGUAUAUCAAAUAUACCUUUGGCGUUGCCGGCCUUCUUAUCCGCUAAGUAUUUGGGGCAGUUCCGCUUCCAGUGACCCUUCCCCUUGCAAUAAAAGCACUCAGUCUCAGGCUUAGGUCCAUUCUUUGACUUCUUCCCGGUAACUGGCUUACCAGGCGCGGCAACCUCCUUGCCGUCCUUCUUGAAGUUCUUCUUACCCUUGCCCUUCUUGAACUUAGUGGUCUUAUUGACCAUCAACACUUGAUGUUCUUUCUUGAUUUCAGCCUCUGCUGACUUCAGCAUCGAGAACACUUCAGGAAUGGUCUUUUCCAUCCCCUGCAUGUUGUAGUUCAUCACAAAGCUCUUGUAGCUUGGUGGGAGCGACUGGAGGAUUCUGUCAAUGACCGCCUCAUCUGGGAGGUUAAUGUUCAGCUGGGUCAUACGGUUGUGCAACCCAGACAUCUUCAGGAUGUGCUCAUUGACAGAACUGUUUUCCUCCAUCUUACAACUAUAGAACUUGUCGGAGACAUCAUAUCUCUUGACCCGGGCAUGAGCUUGAAAAACUAGUUUCAGCUCUUCGAACAUCUCAUAUGCUCCGUGGUGCUCAAAACGCUUUUGGAGCCCCGGUUCUAAGCUGUAAAGCAUGCCGCACUGAACGAGGGAGUAAUCAUCAGCACGAGAUUGCCAAGCAUUCAUAAUGUCUUGGUUCUCUGGGACGGGAGCGUCACCUAGCGGUCCUUCUAGGACAUAUUGUUUCCUGGCAGCUAUGAGGAUGAUCCUCAGGUUCCGGACCCAGUCCGUAUAGUUGCUGCCAUCAUCUUUCAGCUUGGUUUUCUCUAGGAACGCGUUGAAGUUCAUGUUGACAUUAGCGUUGGCCAUUGAUCUACAAGACAUAUUUGCAAAGGUUUUAGACUAAGUUCAUGAUAAUAAAGUUCUAAUCAAAUUAUGAACUCCCACUUAGAUUAGACAUCCCUCUAGUCAUCUAAGUGUUACACGAUCCGAGUCGACUAGCCCGUGUCCGAUCAUCACGUGAGACGGACUAGUCAUCGUCGGUGAACAUUCUCAUGUUGAUCGUAUCUUCCAUACGAUUCGUGUUCGAACUUUCGGUCUCCGUGUUCCGAGGCCAUGUCUGCACAUGCUAGGCUCUUCAAGUUAACCCUAAGUGUUUUCGCUGUGUAAAACUGUCUUACACCCGUUGUAUGUGAACGUAAGAAUCCAUCACACCCGAUCAUCACGUGGUGCUUAGAAGCGACGAACUGUAGCAACGGUGCACAGUUAGGGGAGAACACUUCUUGAAAUUUUUGUAAGGGAUCAUCUUAUUUACUACCGUCGUCCUAAGUAAACAAGAUGCAUAAACAUAAUAAACAUCACAUGCAAUUAUAUAGUUGUGACAUGAUAUGGCCAAUAUCAUAUAGCUCCAUUGAUCUUCAUCUUCGGGGCUCCAUGAUCAUCUUGUCACCGGCUUGACACCAUGAUCUCCAUCAUCAUGAUCUCCAUCAUCGUGUCUUCAUGAAGUUGUCACGCCAACGACUACUUCUACUUCUAUGGCUAACGCGUUUAGCAAUAAAGUAAAGUGAGUUACAUGGCGUUCUUCAAUGACACGCAGGUCAUACAAAAAAUAAAGACAACUCCUAUGGCUCCUGCCAGUUGUCAUACUCAUCGACAUGCAAGUCGUGAAUCCUAUUACAAAGAACAUGAUCUCAUACAUCACAAUUCAUCAUUCAUCACAACUUCUGGCCAUAUCACAUCACAUGAUCAAUCGCUGCAAAAACAAGUUAGACGUCCUCUAAUUGUUGUUGCAUCUUUUACGUGGCUGCAAUUGGGUUCUAGCAAGAACGUUUUCUUACCUACGAAUAACCACAACGUGAUUUUGUCAACUUCUAUUUACCCUUCAUAAGGGCCCUGUUCAUCGAUUCCGCUCCAACUAAAGUGGGAGAGACAGACACCCGCCAGCCACCUUAUGCAACUAGUGCAUGUCAGUCGGUGGAACCGGUCUCACGUAAGCGUACGUGUAAGGUUGGUCCGGGCCGCUUCAUCCCACAAUACCGUUGAGCAAGAAAAGACUAGUAGAGGCAAGUAAGAUGACAAAAUCCACGCCCACAACAAAAUUGUGUUCUACUCGUGCAAAGAGAACUACGCAUAGACCUAGCUCAUGAUGCCACUGUUGGGGAACGUUGCAGAAAAUUAAAAUUUUUCCUACGGUUUCACCAAGAUCCAUCUAUGAGUUCAUCUAAGCAACGAGUCAAGGGAGAGAGUUUGCAUCUACAUACCACUUGUAGAUCGCGUGCAGAAGCUUGCAAGGUGAUGAUGGAGUCGUACUCGACGUGAUUCGAAUCACCGAUGACCAAGUGAUGAACGGACAGCACCUCCGCGUUCAACACACGUACGGGACGGGAGACGUCUCCUCCUUCUUGAUCCAGCAAGGGGGAAGGAGAGGUUGAGGAAGACAGCUCCACCGGCAGCACGACGGCGUGGUGAUGGUGGAGAGGUAGUACUCCGACAGGGCUUCGCCAAGCACACAACGGAGGACGAGAGGUGUUGGGGAGGGGAGGGCUGCGCCUUGGAGGGUGGUGCGGCUGCCCUUCCCUCACCCCUCUAUUUAUAGGGGGAAGGGAGAAGGGGGCCGGCCCCCUAGAACCCAUCUAGGGGGGUGCGGCGGCCAAGGGGAGAGGGGGAGAGGGUGGCUUGCCCCCCAAGCCAAGGGGGGCGCCCCCUCUAGGGUUCCCCCCUCAACCCUAGGCGCAAGGGCCCAAGGGAGGGGGUGCGCCCAGCCUACCAGGGGCUGGCUCCCUGCCCCACGCAGCCCAUGUGGCCCCCCGGGAGGGGUGGCCCCUCCCGGUGGACCCCCGGUACCCUUCCGGUGGCCCCGGUACAAUACCGGUAUGAUCCCGAAACUUCCCGGUGUCCGUUUGACAACUUCCCAUAUAUAAAUCUUUACCUCUGGACCGUUCCGGAGCUCCUCGUGACGUCCAGGAUCCCAUCCGGGACUCCGAACAACAUUCGGUAGUCACAUACUAGUCUUCCUAAUAACCCUAGCGUCACCGAACCUUAAGUGUGUAGACCCUACGGGUUCGGGAGACAUGCAGACAUGACCGAGACGCUCUCAGAUCAAUAACCAACAGAGGGAUCUGGAUACCCAUGAUGGCUCCCACAUGCUCCUCGAUGUUGUCAUCGGAUGAACCACGAUGUCGAGGAUUCGAUCAAACCCUGUAUACAAUUCCCUUUGUCAAUCGGUACGUUACUUGCCCGAGACUCGAUCGUCGGUAUCCCAAUACCUUGUUCAGUCUCGUUACCGGCAAGUCACUUUACUCGUACCGUAAUGCAUGAUCCCGUGUCCAACACCUUGGUCACAUUGAGCUCAUUAUGAUGAUGCAUUACCGAGUGGGCCCAGAGAUACCUCUCCGUCAUACGGAGUGACAAAUCCCAGUCUCGAUCCGUGUCAACCCAACAGAUACUUUCGGAGAUACCUGUAAUGCACCUUUAUAGUCACCCAGUUACGUUGUGACGUUUGAUACACCCAAGGCACUCUUACGGUAUCCGGGAGUUACACGAUCUCAUGGUCGAAGGAAGAGAUACUUGACAUUGGCAAAGCUCUAGCAAAACGAACUACACGAUCUUUUAUGCUAUGCUUAGGAUUGGGUCGUGUCCAUCACAUCAUUCUCCUAAUGAUGUGAUCCCGUUAUCAACGACAUCCAAUGUCCAUAGUCAGGAAACCAUGACUAUCUGUUGAUCACAACGAGCUAGUCAACUAGAGGCUCACCAGGGACAUAUUGUGGUCUAAGUAUUCACACGUGUAUUACGAUUUCCGGAUAAUACAGUUAUAGCAUGAAUAAAAGACAUUUAUCAUGAACAUUGAAAUAUAAUAAUACUUUUAUUAUUGCCUCUAGGGCAUAUUUCCAACAUGAAGAUGGUCUCUCUCAAGCAACCCUGCAACCAAAUAACAAAGAGUCUCUUGUGUCCCCAACACACCCAAUACAAUGGUAAAUUGUAUAGGUGCACUAGUUCGGCGAAGAGAUGGUGAAACAAGUGGUAUAUGGAUAGUAGAUAUGAGUAUUUGUAAUCUGAAAUUAUAAAAACAGCAAGGUAGCAAGUAAUAAAAGUGAGCGUAAACGGUAUUGCAAUGAUGGUAAACAAGGCCUAGGGUUCAUACUUUCGCUAGUGUAAGUUCCCUCAACAAUACUAACAUAAUUGGAUCACAUAACUAUCCCUCAACAUGCAACAAAAAGUCACUCCAAAGUCACUAAUAGCGGAGAACAAAUGAAGAGAUUAUGGUAGGGUACGAAACCACCUCAAAGUUAUUCUUUCCAAUCAAUCCGUUGGGCUAUUCCUAUAAGUGUCACAAACAGCCCUAGAGUUCAUACUAGAAUAACAUCUUAAGACACAAAUCAACCAAAACCCUAAUGUCACCUAGAUACUCCAUUGUCACCUCAAGUAUUCGUGGGCAUGAUUAUAUGAUAUGCAUCACACAAUCUCAAUUCAUCUAUUCAACAAACACAAAGGACAUCAAAGAGUGCCCCAAAGUUUCUGCCGGAGAAUCACGACGAAAACGUGUGCCAACCCCUAUGCAUAGGUUCCCAAUGUCACGAAACCUGCAAGUUGAUCACCUCAACAUACAUCAAGUGGCACGUGGUAUCCCAUUGUCACCACAGAUAUCCACGGCAAGACAUACAUCAAGUGUUCUCAAGUCUUUAAAGACUCAAUCCGAUAAGAUUACUUCAAAGGGGAAACUCAAUUCAUUACAAGAGAGAAGAGAGGGAGGAGAAACAUAGGAUCCAACUAUAAUAGCAAAGCUGGCGAUACAUCAAGAUCGUGCCAAAUCAAGAACACGAGAGAGAGAGAGAUCAAACACAUAGCUACUGGUACAUACCCUCAGCCCCGAGGGAGAACUACUCCCUCCUCGUCAUGGAGAGCGUCGGGAUGAUGAAGAUGGCCACCGGUGAGGGAUCCCCCCUCCGGCAGGGUGCCGGAACAGGGUCCCGAUUAACUUUUGGUGGCUACGGAGGCUUCUGGAGGCGGAACUCUUGAUCUAAUCUUGCGUUCUGGAAGUUUUAGGUCACGUAGGUAUAUAUGGGUACAGGAGGUACGUCAGGGGAGCCACGAGGGCCCCAGAGACAGGGGGCGCGCCCUAGGGGGGCGCCCCCACCCUCGUGAGCACCUCGUUCCUUCCUUGACGUGGAGUCCAAGUCCAUCAGGUGUGUUUCCUUCCAAAAAUAACUUCUCCAGUUAAUUUCGUUCCGUUUCGACUCCGUCUGAUAUUUCUUUUCUUCAAAACACUGAAAUAGGCAUAAAACAGCAAAUCUGGGCUGGGCCUCCGGUUAAUAGGUUAGUCCCAAAAAUAAUAUAAAAGUGGAAAAUAAAGCCCAAUAUUGCCCAAAACAGUAGAUAAUAUAGCAUGGAGCAAUCAAAAAUUAUAGAUACGUUGGAGACGUAUUAGCGGCUCUAAGCCGCUUUAUCUCUCGCUUAGGAGAAAAGGCUUUACCCUUUUAUCGCCUCCUUCAGUGCACCGAACACUUUGAGUGGACGGACGCUGCCACAGCCGGAUUGGAAGAAAUAAAGGCCAUUUUGGCAACCAACCCAAUCCUGGCCGCGCCAAACAUCGGCGAACCAAUGCUGUUGUACAUUGCGGCAACUCAUCAAGUUGUAAGCGCAGUGCUCGUCGUCGAACGAGAAGCCGUCGGACAUAAAUUCCCUCUUCAAAGGCCGGUAUACUAUGUAUCCACUGUCCUCACUCCAUGCAAAUCACUGUACCCACAUUAUCAAAAGAUAGCCUAUGCGAUAUUCAUGGCAUCCCGGAAGUUGCGACACUACUUUCAAGAGUGUUCGAUUACAGUAGCCUCGGAAGUGCCACUUAAUGAUAUUAUAAACAACCACGACGCUACGGGCUGGAUUGCUAAAUGGUCCAUUGAGCUCCUCCCGUUCGACAUAACAUACAAACCUCGACGGGCCAUUAAGUCGCAAGUAUUGGCCGACUUUGUCGCCGAAUGGACGGAGGCCGAACUCCCUAAAGAGUACGGCGCAUACUCCAAUUGGAUCAUGCACUUCGACGGUUCUAAAAUGCUAUCUGGUCUAGGGGCUAGCAUCGUCCUGAUGUCCCCAACCGGAGAUACCGUUCAGUAUGUACUGCAAAUAUUGUAUACAGACUCCAACAACGCAACCGAAUACGAAGCUCUGUUGCAUGGUCUUCAGAUGGCAGUCUCCAUGGGCAUUCAACGCCUGGAGGUGCGUGGGGAUUCAAACCUUGCAAUAUCCCAAAUAAAUGGAGACUUUGAUGCCAAGGAUCCGAAAAUGGCGGCCUACCGAAACGUCGUCCUAAAAAUGUCAGCUCGGUUCAAGGGACUCGAAUUUCACCAUGUGGUCGAGAAAACAAUCAAGCGGCGGAUAUCCUCGCCCACAUCGGUGCAAAACGCGAUGCGGUCCCCCCCAACAUAUUUCUGGAAAGGCUAUUCAAGCCAUCCGUAGUAUGGGAAGGGGACACCGGUAACAAUAGUCCGGACCCAGCCAAAAUGCCCGAUACCGAAUACUCUGACACAAUGGGAGGCUCCGCCACCAAAUAACACCUUCAGCCCACGUAAUAAUGGCCAUUAUCGCCCCAUGGACAGAACCAUUCCUGGCCUACCUAACUAGGCAGGAACUUCCGAGGACCAAAAUGAGGCACGCUGCAUAGUGCGGUGAUCUAAGGCCUACAGGGUCCACAAAGGAGAAUUGUAUAAAAAAAGUACUACCGGAGUCCUUCAAAGGUGCAUCUCCGAAGAAGAAGGGCGGAACCUUUUGGCAGAAAUCCACGUCGGACUUGGCGGUCAUCAUUCCGCAGCCCGGGCUCUUGUAAGCAAGGCCUUCCGUACAGGAUUCUAUUGGCCAACGGCUCGGGCAGAUGCACAGGACUUGGUCCAACGUUGCGCCGGUUGCUAGCUCUUUGCAAAUCAAAGCCACAUGCCACCCACCGCCCUCCAAACAAUCCCCAUUACGUGGCCCUUCGCGGUCUGGGGGCUUGACAUGGUUGGACCCCUUAAAGGGGGAACCCACAAGAAAAAAUACUUACUGGUCAUGGUGGAUAAAUUCACCAAAUGGAUAGAGGCCAAACCCAUUAAAACAGCCGAAUCCGGACCAGUGAUAGACUUCAUAUCUGGGGUCGUACACCAUUAUGGCGUCCCCCACAGCAUCAUCACUGACAAUAGCACAAACUUCACAGCCAAUGAGGUAAAACUCUGGUGCAUCAAAAUGGGCAUCAAGCUCGAUUAUGCUUCAGUCUAUCACCCACAAACCAACGGUUAAGUCGAGCGAGCAAACAGUCUUAUAAUGAGCGGCAUUAAACCCAGAUUAGUGCGUUCCUUAACGGAGUCUAACACGCACUGGGUAGAGAAGCUCGACUCCAUACUCUGGGGGCUGCGGACCAUGCCGAAUCGUAGUACCGGAUAUACACCCUUCUUUAUGGUGUACGGCGCAGAGGCAGUCUUGCCCUGUGACAUAAUUCAUGACUCACCUCGAGUGAGCAUGUACGAAGAAAGAGAAGCCGAGCUCGAUCGACAGGACAGUCUGGACACCCUGGAGGAGGAGCGCGACGUAGCCAAAGCCCGUUCCGCAUUUUAUCAGCAACAGGCUCGCAGAUACCAAAACAGAGAAGUAUGGGCCAAAACUUAUAACAUUGGCGAACUAGUUCUACGCCUGCCGGACAAGAAAAAGAACAAGCUCGAUCCCAAAUGGGAAGGUCCCUUCAUUAUCAACCAAGUUCUGACCGGCGGAGCGUACCGACUGCGGGAUGCAUCGACUAGUCGACUUGAGCCGAACCCAUGGAACGCGGCCAGGCUCCGAAGAUUCUACGCCUAGCACCGGACUCUAUGUUCGUCCCCUUCCUUUGUCCAUUUUUUGCAUAUACAUUAUCUGUCUUGUUUUUCUUUCUUCAUUUCUUUUAUUCUUUCUCUAGGCCUUUAACGGCCAACUUGUGCCUCGCUUGCACAUUAGAGAUGCGCUACCCGCGCUCCAUACCUGGGGGCUUCUUUCACAGAAGCUUAAUUAUUUAUCUGGGCCUCAAGCCCCGCACAUGUGUCAUGCUUCCGCAUGUACCUUUUUUUGCCAUUAUAUGCAUCGAUAUGACUUAAGUUUUGGCCAAUCUGGGUUGUCUGGCUCUUGUAUUUAUGCCCCAUGUUCCCGUUAAUUCGGCUAGGGCAUAAGGUAGAACCUCUGCUGUAACACCCUCGAUGCGACUAUAUCUCCCACGUGUCGAGGCACGACUUAGAGGCAUAAUCGCAUUGAAGGCAUAUGUCACAAGUUAGGCAAUCUUCACAACAUCCCAUGUAAUAUAUAGAUAAUAAAAGGGGAGAUAACAUAGUUGGCUUACACUCGCCACGUCAAUCAAGUACAUAAAAUAGCAUUACAUCAUACAAACACUCAUGGCCCGACUACGGCGCCAAAAUAAAAGAUAACCCAACAUGCGACACGGUCCCGAUCACCCCAACUGGGCACCACUACUGAUCAUCAGGGAAAGACACAUAGUAUCAUUGAGAGUCCUCGUUGAACUCCCACUUGAGCUCAAGCGCGUCACCUGGAGCGGAAUCAUCAGGCCCUGCAUCUGGUUUGGAAGUAAUCUGUGAGCCACAGGGACUCAGCAAUCUCGCACCCUCGCGAUCAAGACUAUUUAAGCUUAAUAGGUAAGGCAAGGUAAAUAUGUGGAGCUGCAGCAAGCGACUAGCAUAUAUGAUGGCUAACCUAUUCGCAAAAGAGAGAGAGAAGAGGAGGCAAAGAACGGUCGAACAACUAGGGGGCAACCUGCGGCAAGCAUUACUCCAACACCGUGUUCACUUCCCGGACUCUGCCGAGAAGAGACCAUCACGGCAACUCACACUGUUGAUUCAUUUUAAUUAAGUUAAGGUUCAAGUUAUCUACAACCGGACAUUAACAAAUUCCCAUCUGCCCAUAACCGCAGGCACGGCUUUCGAAAGUUCAAAUCCCUGCAGGGGAGUCCCAACUUAGCCCAUGACAAGCUCUCACGGUCAACGAAGGAAUAGACCUCCUCCCGAGACGUUCCGAUCAGACUCGGUACCUCGGUUCUUCAAGACACUUCAACAGGUUAAAACAAGACCAGCAACACCGCCCGAAUGUGCCGACAAAUCCCGAUAGGAGCUGCACAUAUCUCAUUCUCACGGCACAUUCAGAUGAGACAUCCUACGAGUAAAACCAACCCUCAAGUUGCCCCGAGGUGGCCCCGCAGUCUACUCGGUCGGACCAACACUCAGAGGAGCACUGGCCCGGGGGGGUUUAAAUAAGAUGACCCUCGGGCUCCGGAAACCCAAGGGAAAAAGAGCCUAGGUGGCAAAUGGUAAAACCAAGGUUGGGCAUUGCUGGAAAAGCUUUAAUCAAGGCGAACUAUCAAGGGGUUCCCACUAUAACCCAACCGCGUAAGGAACGCAAAAUCCGGGAACAUAACACCGAUAUGACGGAAACUAGGGCGGCAAGAGUGGAACAAAACACUAGGCGAGAGGCCGAGCCUUCGACCCUUUACCAAGUAUAUAGAUGCAUUAAGAUAACAUGGCAAUAUAAUGAUAUCUCAACAAGUAAAUAAUGUUCCAACAAGGAACGGUCUCCAAUCUUCACCUGCAACUAGCAAAGCUAUAAGAGGGGCUGAGCAAAGCGGUAACAUAGCCAAUCAACGGUUUGCUAGGACGUGGUGGGUUAGAGGUUUGACAUGGAAAUAUGGGAGGCUUGAAAGCAAGUGGUAGGCACCGUAGCAUUGGCAUAGCAAAAGAGCGAGCAUCUAGCAAAGCAAAGAUAGUAGUGAUUUCGAGGGUAUGAUCAUCUUGCCUGCAAAGUUGUCAGAGUUGACUGGAUCCUCGAAAGCAAACUCAACGGGUUCCUCGUUAGCGAACUCGUCUCCCGGCUCUACCCAAACAAGACAAACAAGCAAAGGGAACACAAUCAACCAUGUGCAAGGCUCAAACAAUAUGAUGCAAGGAUGGUAUGCUAUGCGGGAUGCAAUGCGGGAUGCAUAUGCAAGAUGAGAGAAGGAAUGCAUGAACCUGGCCUCAACUUGGAAAUCCAAGUGUGCCACUGGAAAGAUGAGAUGAAAUCACUUGAAAACGAUAUAAAGAACGCCGGAAUCGGAGUUACGGUUUGGAAAUGGCAAACAAUUCAAAUAUGACCACGUUCUGCGAUUUACAGCAAGUAGCUAUCUAAAUGCAACGAGAUGAACAUGCUACGGCACUCAAACAUGGCAUAAAAAUACAUGGCAGGGAUGCAUUCAUGAUGCUUAACAAAAGUCUAGCACUGAGCUACGGACAAUUCAUCCAUUAACAGGUUCAAACAAGCAUGGCAAAAAUGCAAUUGACAAACAGAUCUCAGACUUAGUGAAAUUAACACUUGUCUGGAAUUUCAGAUCAGAUAGCACUCUUUGGAGCAUGAAAACUAUAUGCUACAGGACCUGAACAUGGAAAAGUAAAGCAUCGCAUGGAGCUACUCAAGGAGCUUAACAAAAGUCCCUUAGUGACCUUGAGCCAAAAGGGAUCAGAAAAUACAAUUGCAAGCAUGUGAACAUGGCAAAAACAUAAUCAGUUCUCAGACUUAGUGAAAACUGGAGCAUGCUGAAACAAAUAUCAAGUAAGCAUGUUUACGAGCUCGAUGCACUCACUACAGAGCAAGUCAUGACAAUCUAAGCAUACACCCAUCAAGAAUACACAAAAUUCAAGCUAGACAUGGCAAGAACAAUAACAUAGCAUGCACGGAUCAACUACAACAUCCUCGGCAAAAUCGCUAACAAGUAAACAAUCUGCCCAGAUUCACGAAAUGACAAAAGUAGAGCUCGAUUGGCUCAAGCUAGGGUGCUCCAUAAUUGCAAACAAAGACAUGGAUGGAUAGAGCACUACAAUAUUAAUAAAACAUCCUUACUGAUCAUCCUCAAAAUAGGUACGAAUCACUAGGAAACAACAUGAACAUAUGGCCAUAUGAGAUAAACAGGUCAAGGACUUAGUGGAAAAGCUAAGUCCCAGAAAUCAGCAUUACCAUGUGCCUCACUUUGCAAGCUUGUGCUAGUCACCACACACAUCACAAAAAUACAUGGGUUGCACCUCUGGAAAUAUGGCAAAACCCUUAACAAAACAUAUGUAGAACUCAGGGGCAUAUCAUGCACACAAUAAUCAUGGCAAAAAUGACAAAUAUCUAAAUGGAGCGGCAGAUCUGACAAUUAUCUCAAGUAGCACUCUUCUAACAGCAUUUCGGGCAUCAAGAUGAACUCAAAUGAAAAUGAUGCAAUGGAAUGAAAUGAUGUACUCUCUGAGACGAACAUUUUGAUAUGCUAUAUGCGCAAAACGGAGUUACGGAUGCAAAGUUAUGGCACGAUGAACAUGGGCAUAUGAACUAGGGUUUCGGGAGAAAGUCAACCCACUUUUUGGAUCUAGAUCUGAGAUCCGGUGCACGAUUUACGAGGAUGGCCGGCACUGUUCACCGGUGACGGGGCGCGGCCGGAGUAAGCGGGCGAGGUGGAGGUCGGCGCGGGCCGGCGCCGGAGUAGAAGGCGGCGGUGCGAGGCGGGUGGAGCGGCGGCGGUGGUCGCCGGAAGUGGCUCCAGCGAGGGCUUGCGGUCGUGGCCCGGUGCGGCAAGCCGGGCGGCGGCAGAGCCAUCGGGGAUGGCGGCGCGGUGGUCCGGGUCGCCGGCCUCGGGGAAGGAGGCGGCGGGAGGGGAGGCACCUCGGCGGCGGAGGAACGGGCCGAGAGGGCCCGCCGUGGGCUCUCCGGGCCUCGGCGCGGGGGCAGCCGGCGGCUGCCACGUGGCGUGACGGGAGAGGGCGAGGGGACGGUGGCGGACGUGUCCGGCUGUACGGACAAUGUCCGGCGCGGUGGAGGAGAUAUUUUUUAAGGGUUUCGAGCAGGGGAUCCGAGAUUUGGAAUGGGGGAGGUAUAUAUAGUCAUAGAGGGAGUUAGGAGUGUCCAAAUGAGGUGCGGUUUUCGGCCACGCGAUCGUGAUCGAACGCUCUAGAUGAUGGAGAGGGUUUUGGUGGGUUUUGGGCCAACUUGGAGGGGUGUUGGGCUGCAACACACACGAGGCCUUUUCGGUCCCUCGGUUAACCGUUGGAGCAUCAAACGAAGUCCAAAUGGUAUGAAACUUGACAGGAGGUCUACCGGUAGUAAACCAAGGCCGCUUAGCAAGUCUCGGUCCAAUCCGUAAAUGUUUAAUCCCCACACACGAAAGAAAGGUAGAAAUGACCACCGGAGGAGAACGAAGCGCCGGAAUGCAAAACGGACAACGGGGAAAAUGCUCGAAUGCAUGAGAUGAACAUGUAUGCAAAUGCAAUGCACAUGAUGACAUGAUAUGAGAUGCAUGACAACGAUAACAACACACGGAGACAAAGACCCGAACCCAAGAAAAUAAAAUAACUUAAGGCCGGAAACGGCAAGAGUUGGAUUACAUAUUGGGUAAAUCAUAUCCGGGGUGUUACAACACUCCACCACUACAAAAGGAUCUCGUCCCGAGAUCUAGGACUGAAAGAACGCCGGGUACUCAGAACGGAGGUGAUCCUCACGUUCCCAGGUAGCUUCACGGUCAGAAUGGUGUGACCACUUGACUUUGAGGAAUUUUAUUGACUUGUUGCGAGUCUUGCGUUCAGUCUCUUCAAGAAUAGCAACUGGGUGCUCACGAUAGGAGAGAUCUUCUUGGAGCUCAAUGUCCUCGAAGUUGACGGUGCGGUCAGGAGUCUUGAAGCAUUUUCGAAGCUGAGAGACAUGGAACAUAUCAUGAACAUUUCCAAAGUUUGAAGGAAGCUCGAGUUGAUAGGCGAGAUCGCCUCUCUUGCUGACAAUCUUGAAAGGUCCCACGUAUCUGGGGGCAAGCUUCCCUUUGAUACCGAAGCGACGAGUCCCUUUCAUAGGAGAGACGCGGAGGUAAACAUGAUCUCCGAUCUCGAAAGCCAAAUCGCGGUGCUUACUAUCAUAGUAGCUCUUCUGGCGGGAUUGGGCUGCUUUGAGGUUAUCUCAAAUGACUUUGCACAUUUCCUCUGUCUCUGUGAUUAAGUCAUUUCCGAGAAGCUGACAUUCACCAGUUUCGGACCAGUUGAGAGGGGUACGGCACUUCCUGCCAUACAGAAUUUCAAAUGGGGCCUUGCCCGAACUUGCUUGAAAACUGUUGUUGUAGGAGAAUUCAGCAUAAGGAAGACAAUCCUCCCACUUCAUGCCGAAGGAGAUCACACAAGCCCUGAGCAUAUCUUCAAGAAUCUGGUUGACACGCUCGACUUGACCGCUAGUUUGAGGAUGGAAAGCUGUGCUGAAGCGGAUGUUGGUGCCAAUGGCCUUCUGAAAAGAAUCCCCAAACUUGGAGGUAAAGAUGCUGCCACGGUCUGAAAAGAUCAAUUGUGGAAUACCGUGCAGAGAGACAAUUCGAGAGGUAUAGAGUUCCGCCAAUUGAGCUGCAGUGAUUGACUCUUUGAUAGGCAGAAAGUGAGCCACUUUAGUGAGUUUGUCGAUGACAACGAAUAUAGCAUCAUUGCCACAUUUGGACUUUGGAAACCCAGUCACGAAGUCCAUCUCAAUGUGGUCAAACUUCCAUUCUGGAAUGGCAAGAGGUUAGAGGAGACCAGCUAGCCUUUGGUGUUCUGCCUUCACUCUUCUGCAGACAUCACACUCGUUCACGAAUUGAGCAAUCUCGCACUUCAUUCGAGUCCACCAAUAAGCCUGCUUGAGGUCCUGAUACAUCUUCGUACUCCCAGGGUGGAUGGAGAGGAGAGAAUUGUGAGCCUCGUUCAUGAUCACUUUACGGAGGUCACCUUUGGGCACAACAAUACGAUCCUCGAAGAAGAGAGUGUCCUUGUCAUCAAGGCGGUAGCACUUGUACUUGGGUUGACUCUUGGCAAUCCCAAUCUUCACCUUUUUCACCAUGGCAUCAAGAAGCUGGGCUUGGCGAAUCAGGUCUUCCAAGGUAGGAGAGACUUGAAGGUUGGCGAGGAAACCUUGAGGAACAACUUGCAGAUUAAGUUUGCGGAAAGCUUCACAAAGCUCGGGUUGAUAAGGCUUGAGAAUCAGACUGUUGCAAUAAGCCUUUCUGCUCAAUGCGUCAGCAAUCACAUUAGCCUUGCCUGGAGUAUACUCGAUACUCGGAUUAUACUCUUGAAUCAUUUCGACCCAUCGAGUUUGCCUGAGGUUGAGAUUAGGCUGAGUGAAGAUGUACUUGAGACUCUUGUGGUCAGUGAAGAUGUCCACUUUUCUUCCCAAUAAGAGAUGUCUCCAAGUCAAAAGAGCAUGCACAACUGCCGCCAACUCGAGAUCAUGAGUGGGGUAGUUCUUCUCAUUGGGCUUCAACUGGCGAGAGGUAUAAGCAACAACUUUCUUCUCUUGCAUCAACACUGCGCCAAGACCUUGGAGAGAGGCAUCACAAAAGACCUCAUACGGCUUGGAUUCAUCAGGCGGAGUCAGAACUGGAGCAGUGAUCAAUUUCUCUUUCAAAGUGUUGAAAGCAAUGUCACACUCUGGAGACCAAACGUACUUGACGUGCUUCUAGAGAAGAUUUGAGAGAGGCUUCGCGAUCUUAGAAAAGUUUUCAACGAAUCUUCGGCAAUAGCUUGCGAGACCGAGGAAGCUACGGAGUUGCUUCACGUUCUGAGGAGGUUCCCAAUUCACAAUUGCAGACACCUUCUCAGGAUUCACCACAAUGCCCUUGGCAGAGAUGAUAUGACCAAUAUAAAGAACCUCAUCGAGCCAAAAUUCGCACUUGGAGAACUUGGCGUAGAACUGGUGUUCUCUGAGCUUAUUGAGUACCAAACGCAAGUGCUUGGCAUGAUCUUCCUUGUUCUUCGAGAAAACCAGAAUGUCGUCGAGAUAGACCAAAACGAAGUCAUUGGUGUAGGUGUUGAAGAUGAAGUUCAUCAUGCGAGAGAACGUCGGAGGAGCGUUGACGAGGCCAAAAGACAUGAUAGUGUACUCAUAUGAACCAUAGCUUGUCCUGAAAGCCGUCUUGGGAAUAUCUUGUUCACGGAUUCGAAUCUGAUGAUAACCCAUACGGAGAUCAAGCUUGGAGAAUACUUGGGCACCUUUGAGUUGUUCGAAUAGCUCGUUGAUGUUGGGAAGUGGGUAUUUGUUCUUGAUGGUCUUCUUGUUCAAUGGACGGUAAUCAACACAAAGUCGGUCCAUUCCAUCCUUCUUCUUCACAAAAAGAACACCACAACCCCACGGAGAAGAACUAGGCCGGAUAAGACCCAUUCUCUGUUGAAUAUCGAGUUGCUUCUUCAGCUCCUUCAACUCUUUAGGUCCGAGCUUGUAAGGACGCUUGCACACAGGUUCCGUGCAAGGCUCAAGAUCAAUGACGAAUUCAACUGGCCGGUGCGGAGGCAUUCCUGGGAGCUCUUCUGGAAAGACGUCUUGAUAUUCGCAAACGACUGGAAUUUGCGAGAUAGCAUCCAGUUCACCCUUCUCAUUGAGAGAAAACAGAUGGAUGGUAUCGUCACGAGCGGCGAAGACAAUUACAUCCUCAGACGAAUGAGUCAAUUGAAUCUGCCUGGUUGCACAGUCAAGAUGUGCCUUGUGCUUAGAAAGCCAAUCCAUCCCGAGAAUAAGAUCAAUAUCCGAGUUACCAAGAACCACCAGAGAAGAAAGAAACUUGUAAUCGCCCAACGUGAUAGAGAUAUCGGGAACAACCAAACUAGAAGUCAAAAGCUUGCCGGGAGAAACAACUUGCAUGACUUUGGGCAUGAUCUCAGUAUCAACAUUGUGCUUCGAUGCAAAAGGGCAUGAUAAGAAAAAAUGCGAUGCACUAGUAUCAAAAAGUACUUUUGCAGGAACAUCGUUAACAAGAAGGUUACCCAUGAUGACAUCUGACGAGUCCUCUGCCUGAGCUGUGUUCAUCAAGUUGACCUUGGCGUGCUUGGGGUUAUGCUUGACCACAGCUGUACUUGCCGAUCGCACAGGAGGAGGAGGAAGGCGCCUCUGAUUGAAGCAUUUGUUGGCAUAGUGACCCUUCUGUUGGCACUUGUUGCACGUGACCUCUGAAAGUGGAUGGUGAUACGGAGCACUCAAUCUUGGAGCUUGAGACGAAGUCUUGUUCUGAAAGCCAGGGUUGGGUGGGUGGGAAGAUCCACUGCCACCUUUGCUCUUCUGUUGAUAAGGCUGACGGAACGGAGGAGGAGGAAGCCAAUACUUCUGCUGCUUAGCCACUUGAGUUGAGGAAGAAGGAGUAGCAUCUCUGACUCGCUUCUUGGAAGCAUCACACUUCAGUUGAGCAGCCUCUUGCUUCAAUGCCAUGUUGUAAAACUCAUCGUACCUCCUGGGCUCAAAGAGGACAAGAGCUAGCUGGAUUUCUUCUCUGAGACCACCCCUGAACUGGUAUAUCAUGCUCUUCUCAUCAGGAACAUCCUGCUUGGCAAAGCGGGCGAGCUUCUGGAACAACUUGUUGUAGUCAUAAACAGACAAAGAACCUUGCUUCAGGUUGCGGAAUUCCUCACGCUUGCUUUCAACCACGCUCUGGGGAAUAUGGUGAGCUCUGAAAUCUUGACGGAAUUCAUCCUAAGUGAUCACACGACCACCUCUGGAGUCCUUGUACUGCUGGAACCAUUCUGUAGCUUGAUCUUUGAGUUGGAAGGAAACGAACUUGACGAAGUCCUCAGGCCUGACGUUACUGCACUUGAAAUGCUUGCACAGAUCCACGAGCCAAUCGUCAGCAUCAGUUGCCUCAACACAUUUGCUGAAAGUCUUUGGCCCAUUAGCAAGGAACUGGUUGAGUGUAGCAAAGUGAUUCUGAUUGUUGCCUUGGUUGCCUUGAUUACGCUCUUGGAGAAUUUGCAUGAUCAACUGUGUGUUUGCAUUGGUUGCGGCCAUCACAGCUUGCCAUGCCUCCGGAGGAGGUGGAGGUGGUGGCGGAUCCUGAUUCUGAUUCUGAUUGGUGCUCUUAGCGGGAGCCAUCCUGAAGAGGUUGACCACCGUUAGCACAUAGACAGAUAAAUGAAGCUGGAUCCAACGGAAUGAAAAUUGCAACAUAAAGUCUUCACAUCCAAACAAAAUGAACGAAUGCAUUCCUCUUGAAAUGGUCACAUAUCCAUAAAUUGAGAAGCCACUUAGAAUUUAGGUAGAGAAAUAAAUCAACAAGGUAUGGAUCAAGAACGAAUACUCGGUAAGAAAUCCCAAUCUCAAGCCAAAUAUCCGUGGAAGAAGAACUAGAGCUACAAGAAUUCCCACCUAUGAAACUCCUGAACCUUUCCGGUUAUGCAAUCAGGUGUUGGGGAUACAGGGGAAGCAUAAUAUCUCACCCAAAUCUAGCAAAUCCUACAUCCAGCUGUAUCCAUCCUUCAACACAUAACCAAGAAAACUUCGGAAACCAUCUACCUCAACCUUCGAAAAGCAGCCGUUAUACAAGUUAUGGCGAUACUCCCGAACUCCCGCCCCAGUACUGGGUGGCGUCGAGGUUAUCUCACCAACGAACUGCAUAAAAGAGAUUUUCGAUGUCGUCGUACUAAACUCAGGUAUUCCAGAACUGCAACGAUAAAAUUAUGACGACAACACCUCAGAGCUCAACUCCCCGGGACACUUCCACAAAACCCCUGACAGGAGGCACCAAGACAAUGUUCUCACCAUAAAACCAUCGGAACGAUUCCAAGAUACCCGCGUGAUCCUAAAAAAAAUUAGUGAAAUUUGCGAAGAGAAGAGUCAAAACUCUAUGUCAGGAUGCCUUACCAGAGCGAUGAGGAGACUGGGAAGUAACAAAGAAUUCCUAAACUCUCCGAUAUAUAAUUCCUAAAUGACUCAAAACAUUUUUCUAGACACAACUCGGCUGCUAAAAACGAUCAAUCAGUGGGGGCUCCUAAGGUCGGGGAAGGCUCUGAUUACCAACUUGUAACACCCUCAAUGCGACUAUAUCUCCCAUGUGUCGAGGCACGACUUAGAGGCAUAAUCACAUUGAAGGCAUAUGUCGCAAGUUAGGCAAUCUUCACAACAUCCCAUGUAAUAUAUAGAUAAUAAAAGGGGAGAUAACAUAGUUGGCUUACACUUGCCACAUCAAUCAAGUACAUAAAAUAGCAUUACAUCAUACAAACACUCAUGGCCCGACUACGGGGCCAAAAUAAAAGAUAACCCAACAUGCGACACGGUCCCGAUCACCCCAACUGGCACAACUACUGAUCAUCAGGGAAAGACACAUAGUAUCGUUGAGAGUCCUCGUCGAACUCCCACUUGAGCUCAAGCGCGUCACCUGGAGCGGAAUCAUCAGGCCCUGCAUCUGGUUUGGAAGUAAUCUGUGAGCCACAGGGACUCAGCAAUCUCGCACCCUCGCGAUCAAGACUAUUUAAGCUUAAUAGGUAAGGCAAGGUAAAUAUGUGGAGCUGCAGCAAGCGACUAGCAUAUAUGAUGGCUAACCUAUUCGCAAAAGAGAGAGAGAAGAGGAGGCAAAGCACGGUCGAACAACUAGGGGGCAACCUGCGGCAAGCAUUACUCCAACACCGUGUUCACUUCCCGGACUCCGCCGAGAAGAGACCAUCACGGCAACUCACACUGUUGAUUCAUUUUAAUUAAGUUAAGGUUCAAGUUAUCUACAACCGGACAUUAACAAAUUCCCAUCUGCCCAUAACCGCAGGCACGGCUUUCGAAAGUUCAAAUCCCUGCAGGGGAGUCCCAACUUAGCCCAUGACAAGCUCUCACGGUCAACGAAGGAAUAGACCUCCUCCCGAGACGUUCCGAUCAGACUCGGUACCUCGGUUCUUCAAGACACUUCAACAGGUUAAAACAAGACCAGCAACACCGCCCGAAUGUGCCGACAAAUCCCGAUAGGAGCUGCACAUAUCUCGUUCUCAGGGCACAUUCAGAUGAUACAUCCUACGAGUAAAACCAACCCUCAAGUUGCCCCGAGGUGGCCCCACAGUCUACUCGGUCGGACCAACACUCAGAGGAGCACUGGCCCGGGGGGGUUUAAAUAAGAUGACCCUCGGGCUCCGGAAACCCAAGGGAAAAAGAGCCUAGGUGGCAAAUGGUAAAACCAAGGUUGGGCAUUGCUGGAAAAGCUUUAAUCAAGGCGAACUAUCAAGGGGUUCCCACUAUAACCCAACCGCGUAAGGAACGCAAAAUCCGAGAACAUAACACCGAUAUGACGGAAACUAGGGCGGCAAGAGUGGAACAAAACACUAGGCGAGAGGCCGAGCCUUCCACCCUUUACCAAGUAUAUAGAUCCAUUAAGAUAACAUGGAAAUAUAAUGAUAUCCCAACAAGUAAAUAAUGUUCCAACAAGGAACGGUCUCCAAUCUUCACCUGCAACUAGCAACGCUAUAAGAGGGGCUGAGCAAAGCGGUAACAUAGCCAAUCAACGGUUUGCUAGGACGUGGUGGGUUAGAGGUUUGACAUGGAAAUAUGGGAGGCUUGAAAGCAAGUGGUAGGCAUCGUAGCAUUGGCAUAGCAAAAGAGCGAGCAUCUAGCAAAGCAAAGAUAGUAGUGAUUUCGAGGGUAUGAUCAUCUUGCCUGCAAAGUUGUCAGAGUUGACUGGAUCCUCGAAAGCAAACUCAACGGGCUUCUCAUUAGAGAACUCAUCUCCCGGCUCUACCCAAACAAGACAAACAAGCAAACGGAACACAAUCAACCAUGUACAAGGCUCAAACAAUAUGAUGCAAGGAUGGUAUGCUAUGCGGGAUGCGAUGCGGGAUGCAUAUGCAAGAUGAGACAAGGAAUGCAUGAACCUGGCCUCAACUUGGAAAUCCAAGUGUGCCACUGGAAAGAUGAGAUGAAAUCGCUUGAAAACGAUAUAAAGAAUGUCGGAAUCGGAGUUACGAUUUAGAAAUGGCAAGCAAUUCAAAUAUGACCACGUUCUGCGAUUUACAGCAAGUAUCCAUCUAAAUGCAAUGAGAUGAACAUGCUACAGCACUCAAACAUGGCAUAAAAUACAUGGCAGGGAUGCAUUCAUGAUGCUUAACAAAAGUCUAGCACUGAGCUACGGCCAAUUCAUCCAUUAACAGGUUCAAACAAGUAUGGCAAAAAUGCAAUUGACAAACAGAUCUCAGACUUAGUGAAAUUAACACUUGUCUGGAAUUUCAGAUCAGAUAGCACUCUUCGGAGCAUGAAAACUAUAUGCUACAGGACCUGAACAUGGCAAAGUAAAGCAUGGAAUGGAGCUACUCAAGGAGCUUAACAAAAGUCCCUUAGUGACCUUGAGCCAAAAGGGAUCAGAAAAUACAAUUGCAAGCAUGUGAACAUGGCAAAAACAUAAUCAGUUCUCAGACUUAGUGAAAACUGGAGCAUGCUGAAACAGAUAUCAAUUAGGCAUGUUUACGAGCUCGAUGCACUCACUACAGAGCAAGUCAUGACAAUCUGAGCAUACACCCAUCAAGAAUACACAAAAUUCAAGCUAGACAUGGCAAGAACAAUAACAUAGCAUGCACGGAUCAACUACAACAUUCUCGGCAAAAUCGCUAACAAGUAGACAAUCUGCCCAGAUUCACGAAAUGACAAAAGUAGAGCUCGAUUGGCUCAAGCUAGGGUGCUCCACAAUUGCAAACAAAGACAUGGAUGGAUAGAGCACUACAAUAUUAAUAAAACAUCCUUACUGAUCAUCCUCAAAAGAGGUACGGAUCACUAGGAAACAACAUGAACAUAUGGCCAUAUGAGAUAAACAGGUCAAGCACUUAGUGGAAAAGCUAUGUCCCUGAAAUCAACAUUACCAAGUGCCUCACUUUGCAAGCUUGUUCUAGUCACCACACACAUCACAAAAAUACAUGGGUUGCACCUCUGGAAAGAUGGCAAAACCCUUAACAAAACAUAUGUAGAACUCAGGGGCAUAUCAUGCACACAAUAAUCAUGGCAAAAAUGACAAAUAUCUAAAUGGAGCAGCAGAUCUGACAAUUAUCUCAAGUAGCACUCUUCUAACAGCAUUUCGGGCAUCAAGAUGAACUCAAAUGAAAAUGAUGCAAUGGAAUGAAAUGAUGUACUCUCUGAGACAAAUAUUUUGAUAUGCUAUAUGCGCAAAACGGAGUUACGGAUGCAAAGUUACGGCACGAUGAACAUGGGCAUAUGAACUAGGGUUUCAGAAGAAAGUCAACCCACGUUUUUGGAUCUAGAUCUGAGAUCCGGUGCACGAUUUACGAGGAUGGCCGGCACUGUUCACCGGCGACGGGGCGCGGUCGGAGUAAGCGGGCGAGGUGGAGGUCGGCGCGGGCCGACGCCGGAGUAGAAGGCGGCGGUGCGAGGCGGGUGGAGCGGCGGCGGUGGUCGCCGGAAGUGGCUCUGGUGAGGGCUUGCGGCCGUGGCCCGGUGCGGCAAGCCGGGCGGCGGCGGAGCCACCGGGGAUGGCGGCGCGGUGGUCCGGGUCGCCGGCCUCAGGGAAGGAGGCGGCGGGAGGCGAGGCGCCUCGGCGGCGGAGGAACGGGCCGGGAGGGCCCGCCGUGGGCUCUUCGGGCCUCGGCGCGGGGGCAGCCAGCGGCUGCCACGUGGCGUGACGGGAGAGGGCGAGGGGACGGCGGCGGACGUGUCCGGCUGGACGGACAAUGUCCGGCGCGGCGGAGGAGAUAUUUUUUUAGGGUUUCGAGGAGGGGAUCCGAGAUUUGGAAUGGGGGAGGUAUAUAUAGGCAUAGAGGGAGCUAGGAGUGUCCAAAUGAGGUGCGGUUUUCGGCCACGCGAUCGUGAUCGAACACUCUAGAUGAUGGAGAGGGUUUUGGGCCAACUUGGAGGGGUGUUGGGCUGCAACACACACGAGGCCUUUUCGGUCCCUCGGUUAACCGUUGGAGCAUCAAACAAAGUCCAAAUGGUACGAAACUUGACAGGCGGUCUACCGGUAGUAAACCAAGGCCGCUUGGCAAGUCUCGGUCCAAUCCGGAAAUGUUUAAUCCCCACACACGAAAUAAAGGUAGAAAUGACCACCGGAGGAGAACGAAGCGCCGGAAUGCAAAACGGACAACGGGGAAAAUGCUCGAAUGCAUGAGAUGAACACGUAUGCAAAUGCAAUGCAAAUGAUGACAUGAUAUGAGAUGCAUGACAACGAUAACAACACACGAAGACAAAGACCCAAACCCGUGAAAAUAAAAUAACUUAAGGCCGGAAAUGGCAAGAGUUGGAUUACAUAUUGGGUAAAUCAUAUCCGGGGUGUUACAUCUGUGAUUGUUACUGACGGGUCAGCCGAAUGUGUACCUCAGACUGGGUGAAGCCGAAAGCUAGCGUUCUUAAGGGAAUAUUCGGUCGGUGAACAAAAGAUGAUUUUUAUUUAUUGUCCAUAUCUGCCCCCAGAUGUUUUUCCUGUGUUUCCUAUCGCAGUCCGGACAUGCACUUUAGGGCAUGCUUACCCAGGGAAAGGAACCCUUAACGGAACUAUUCUCCCUGGAAGAUGUUUCUUACUACCCAUGUAAUAUAACAUAACUAGUUGGGCACUUGUCUGUUCAAACACUUAUGACCCCUACGCCUGGUCACCACGCAUGCCCCUGUUCUUAUAUAACUGUGCGGGUAUUCGGAUACACUCCGGACUAUCUGGUCCCGAGGUUGAAGCGAAAAGGUCCGCCAAGACAAAUGAUCUACAAUCCGGCUAGAAGGCAUUAUACAUGUCACUUUCAUUACAUAGUCAUGCAGACUGACUAAAUUCCUCUUAUAUACCAUCCAACAGGCGGUCUAGCUUACAAUCCUGUUGGGAAUACUUUGUGGCUAAUUCUACUUGCCCAUAAACUAAGCUAACGGGGAUCUCUUUUCCGUCGGGCCCCACAGGUCCGACCUCGAUCAUGUGAUUUGGGUCUGCCUUGGUAUACCGCGUCUUCACCAUGGCCCAGGCUUCUCUGGCACCCUGUUGGCAGGCUGAUAUCUUCCAUAAUCGGAAGCGCCACCGUGCUCCCUUGAGCUUCUCCGCAAGCUCUGCAACGCCCUCUGGUAGGGAGACGGACGACCACAAGGCCUGGGCAACACCAUGCAUCACCUGCCGAACUUGUUCGUGCAGAUGUGACAGCUCGGAUAGAAGAUCACCCGCAGACCCGGGCAUUUCCUCCGCGGGACGACCCGUCAGCAUACCUACAGACAUAACGGUGUUAGUCGGCUUCUUCGCCGAACUCCUUUAAAAGGAUUCGUUCAAGCACUUACUAAAAAUGCCGCACCGAAGCCGCUUAUUCUCCUUCUCGGAGUCUGCAAGCUGGCCCUGAACGUCUUUUAGUUCCACGCUCAGCUUAAUAUUGGCGUCUUGGAGAUUAUUUUUCUCCCGCCUAACCUCAGUCAGCACGCGUUUGCCAGCCUCUAGCUAUCGCAUAACAUGCUGGUCCUCCGGAUUUUCUCCGGAUUCAUCUGCAACAUCUGUUGUUAGAUCGGCAGCCAUGCCGCACAUUAUAUGGUAACCAUCAUUCUUUAAUGUAGAUGUUACCAGCAGGUGACUUUUUCAGUUCCUGCAAUGCGGCCACAGCAGCCCGCAGUUGGGUCUUGCAUUCCUCUAGCUCCUGUGAUAGCCUAGUAUUCUUCUCUGUAAGAACCUACACAAUAAAGUUGAUCCUUAAAUCAGUUCUGCUAACUGUUUCAAGUCUCAGGGGCUACUGAUACAUAUAAAUCGUCAGAUUUACUUACUCGUACAUCCUUUACAUACUGAUCUGUGGCUCUGGCUAGACCAUCUUGAGCAGCCCGGAGGUACGCCUCUCCAGAAUUGAAGGCAUCAAAUGCCUCUGGUGAGAAACAAGCGUCACGGAGUACGGCCCGGCAGCGCCUAUGAUGCAUGGCGCUUUCCACCUCUGAGUUUGUAGCGGAUAAUCUAUCUGCAUCCUUUGUAGGGGGAUUAUCCGGCGCCCGCCCCAUAUCGGCUUCCUCCUCUAUGUCCGGUCCUGGCGCCCGGCUGGUGGAAGCAUGAUUAGUAACAUCGCCGGACAUAUUCCGGCGAGCGUUUUUUCUGUUAAAGAAACACGGGCGUCAUUAUAUUUCGAGAAAGACGACAACCACGGAGUGGGGUUCGUUAUACCUUUGCGUCGGCGUCUCCGUCCUGACCGCCUUCCUUUUUGGCCUACCCUGCCUCGGUGCCUCCUAUUAGCGCAUUGCUGCGGGUUCGGCAGGGCGUCCCGAAUGCCUUCCCUGUAAAAAUGUCAUGUGUAUAUGGUGGGUGAAGUGUCUAAAAGGGGAUCCUAGUUUUGGAGUCGGGAUUUUUGGUUUUUCUUACGUGCGAUGCAGGGAGCAGUCCGGGAUAGUCGGCCGUAAUGGCCACCAUGGCAUCGUCACAGCUUAACUAAUAGAACUGUCGGUCUAUCAGCUCCACGAAUAUGAGCGAAUCUUCUUCAAGUCCGGAGUCGAGGGCCCGGUCCGGGUCCUCUGGUUGUGGAGAAGGGCUGCUGACCUCCUUUAUGGCUUUUCACAGUUCCUGCGCAAAUUGGCAAGUUGAAUACUUACGACAAAGAAUGCAGGAAAAAUGGGAGCAGGGAGAUAUAACUUACCCAGCUUAGAGGAUUGUACAUGGAGAAUCCAUCCCAUGGCUUGAUACGGGUGAACUCCUCUUCCUCACCCUUGAACAAUUCGAACAGAAUUUUCGCUAAAGCGGCAGCAUUGUCCGGACCCUUACGCCCGCAGCGGUUGGCGUCAUCCGCCCCGUUGUAACACCACAAGGGGUGCCCGCGAUAUUGAAGUGGUUGCACUCCCCGCAUUAUGCAAAUCGACAUAACUUCGAUUACUGUCAAUCCUGAUCGAGCCAGUGCUUUAAUUCGGUUCAUCAGAUAGAGGACUUAUCCAUUGUCUUCCACCUGGGGGCUCCGUGCGUGCCAACUUCGGUGUUUCUUCAGAGGAGCAUUGUUGAACUCAGGAAGACCCCACCGAACAGGGUCCGGAAGGGGAACGUCCUCCAUAUAAAACCAUUCUGAAGGCCAGUCUUCGGGUGACUUCUUCGGAGUACCGGACAGGUAUCCGGUAUCGGCGAUGCGCCAUAUUUCGGCUCCGCCCACUUGAUAAAGUGACCCCCUCUGUGUGCGAGGGACGAGGCAAAAUAGCCUUUUCCACAGCUCGAAGUGAGCCUCGCAGCCUAGGAACAACUCGCAGAGAGCCACAUAGUCGGCGAUAUGUAGGAUGGAGGCGGGGGUGAAAGUGUGUAAUUGGAGGCCGUAGAACUCCAGGAGACCACGGAGGAAUGGAUGAAUUGGAAAUCCGAGUCCCCUUAAUAGAUAGGGAACAAGGCAGACCCGUUCCCCCAUAGAGGGACAGGGAAAGCUCUCUGCUUGCUCCCCGCCAUUAUAGGUGGCAAGCCCGGCUCGAACGGGCACCAUGUACGCCGGAGGGAGAAAUCCCUUAUUCUGCAGUUCGACUAAACGACUGUGUGAGACUGAACACCUCUCCCAAUCACCGGGCUUAGGGCUUUGGGGGCGGGAGGAGGAGCUGCGGAGGUCGGCCAUGCUGGAAUGGGUCUUUCCGGAACGCGCUCUGAUGGACUCUCGCUGGAGGAGGAUGGUAUGGAUCAGAUCUAAGGAUCCCCAUCCCUUUAAUAGACAAUUUAUUUAUCUGGCUAGGGGGGUGAAUGUAAAAACGCCCUGGCGCCUCGUAUUCAUUCAACGCGUGGGAGAAAGCUCUUAUUGGGCACAGAAGCCAAGAGGUCCAAACAUUUAUGGGACCGGACACUGCUUUACAAACGUUUGAAGGAUGGAGAAGAACCCACCUUGCAAUGCCAAAGACAAUACUGCGCGCCGGACUCAUCGUCAUUGAAGUCUGGUUCGGGGGCUACUAAGGGAGUCCUGGAUUAGGGGGUAUCCGGACAGCCGGAUUAUAUCCUUUGGGCGGACUGUUGGACUAUGAAGAUACAAGAUUGAAGACUUCGUCUCGUGUCCGGAUGGGACUCUACUUGGCAUGGAAGGCAAGCUAGGCAAUACGGAUGUGUAUAUCUCCUCCUUUGUAACCGACCUUGUGUAACCCUAGCCCCCUCUAGUGUCUAUAUAAACCGGAGGGUUUUAGUCUGUAGGACAACAUACAAUCAUACCAUAGGCUAGCUUCUAGGGUUUAGCCUCUCCGAUCUCGUGGUAGAUCUACUCUUGUACUACCCAUAUCAUCAAUAUUAAUCUAGCAGGACGUAGGGUUUUACCUCCAUCAAGAGGGCCCGAACCUGGGUAAAACAUCGUGUCCCCUGCCUCCUGUUACCAUCCGCCUUAGAUGCAUAGUUCGGGACCCCCUACCCGAGAUCCACCGGUUUUGACACCGACAGUACCCCUUAACUAGUUACUCUUUGAGGAGAACUCGAGCAAAGGAGGUGCACGGGAUAGAGAAACUGGAAGGAGGUGAGCCAUCUUUUCCUUUCAGCAUAUGACGUGACAACCGGCCAUGUGCACUAGAAUGUGUAAACAAUACGCUUCACAUGAUGAACGAAUAAAAUGAUUGUGCAUUUCAAACCUCUUGGGUUCACCUUAAAUAUGUAGGAACAUGGUACUACAUGAACACAUAUUGCCAUGAUCAGAAUUAUAGAGGC
rnacentral:lncRNA from 1 species